UAAGGUCAAUGAUGUGUUUAAUUUGCCUAUAUUGGUUGAUCAUCUUUUCUAGAUUAUGAUGUGUUUAAAUAAUCUGAGACCUUU
rfam:Medicago truncatula strain A17 chromosome 2, whole genome shotgun sequence.